ACAGUGUGUGUGGUGGGCCAGGCUGGACUGUGGGAGAGCAGAAGCUUUUGUGAGGUCCCCAGGACUCCGGGAAACACAGGCAGCUUUACACUAGGAUUUACAACCAGUAGAUGUGAAUCCCUCCCCCAGCACUGUGGCUUCUUCCCAUGAAAAAGGAAAAAAAAUAGGCAAACUGAAGAUGAAGUUAUAAAACCAAGCAAUUUAAAUUCUUUCAAAUCUUAAGAGUUUUACAAAGAAUAUUCCCUUGGUGGAUUCAGCAUACACACCUGGGGAAAGAAGUAUAUCCAGAAUGAAAAUCAUUCCAGCUGGG